rnacentral:rRNA from 1 species
AUGGGUUCUCUGCCGGACCUUGCUUUCGCCUUCGCUCGAUUUGUGGCCAGGGAACGCCGGGGCUUCCGUUUUCCUCACCGUACUUUUUGUCCGGCUGCUACUCGUCGCCAGAACUUCGGCCACCGCCAUCAGCGUCGCCUAAACAGGAAUGGCGGCCUCCGCCGCCGCAAUGCACCAUACCGUGCUCCUCUUCGUCGCUAUGGUUCUAGAGGUGGCCUCCUUCGCCGCCAUGCCAAUCGCCAGUGCCUUCACUGUGGUCACCGUCGGGUGCACCGCAGCAACUUCCCUGGAGCGCCACGACCGAGUACGAGGGUGGAUGCGCCCAGGGAAGACGUCCUGGUCAUGCCCCAAGAGGUUGUUGCCGCACCAAACGCUGUCGACGAACAGGUUGCUGCAGGAGCCAGGAUCGAGUACGAGGAUGAUGCCUCUGCCUCCAACAUCACCACGGAUGCCGCGGAACUGCCGCCUCCUCCGCCGGUGUACGCGCCCAUGGAGUGGAUGCUUGCCGGACAAGGCGCCGGAUGA